GACGAACGCUGGCGGCGUGCCUAAUACAUGCAAGUCGAACGCAGUGGGGACGGGUGAGUAACCCGUGGGUAACCUCCCAUCAGAGGGGAUAACACUUGGAAACAGGUGCUAAACCGAUACUGAUGGAUGGACCCGCCGUGCAUUGGCUUGUUGGUGGGGUAACGGCCCACCAAGGCCACGAUGCAUAGCCGACCUGAGAGGGGGAUCGGCCACACUGGGACUGAGACACGGCCCAGACUCCUACGGGGGGGAGCAGUAGGGAAUUUUCGGCAAUGGACGAAAGUCUGACCGAGCAAAGCCGCGUGAGUGAAGAAGGUGUUCGGAUCGUAAAACUCUGUUGUUAGAGAAGCGGUAUCUAACCAGAAAGCCACGGCUAACUACGUGCCAGCAGCCGCGGUAAUUC
rnacentral:rRNA from 1 species